rnacentral:rRNA from 1 species
UACGGAGGAUCCAAGCGUUUAUCCGGAAUCAUUGGGUUAAAGGGUCCGUAGGCGGUUUAGUAAGUCAGUGGUGAAAGCCCAUCGCUCAACGGUGGAACGGCCAUUGAUACUGCUAGACUUGAAUUAUUAGGAAGUAACUAGAAUAUGUAGUGUAGCGGUGAAAUGCUUAGAGAUUACAUGGAAUACCAAUUGCGAAGGCAGGUUACUACUAAUGGAUUGACGCUGAUGGACGAAAGCGUGGGUAGCGAACAGG